UGAGUGUGUAGGUGUGUAAGUGUGUAGGUGUGUAAGUGUGUAGGUGUGUAGGUGUGUGAGUGUGUAAGUGUGUGAGUGUGUAAGUGUGUAGGUGUGUGAGUGUGUGAGUGUGUAGGUGUGUGAGUGUGUAAGUGUGUAGGUGUGUGAGUGUGUAAGUGUGUAAGUGUGUGAGUGUGUGAGUGUGUGAGUGUGUAAGUGUGUAGGUGUGUGAGUGUGUGAGUGUGUGAGUGUGUAAGUGUGUAGGUGUGUGAGUGUGUGAGUGUGUAGGUGUGUGAGUGUGUAGGUGUGUAAGUGUGUAGGUGUGUAGGUGUGUAGGUGUGUGAGUGUGUGAGUGUGUAGGUGUGUAGGUGUGUAGUGUGUAGGUGUGUGAGUGUGUGAGCGUGUAGGCGUGUAGGUGUGUAAGUGUGUGAGUGUGUGAGUGUGUAGGUGUGUGAGUGUGUGAGUGUGUAAGUGUGUGAGUGUGUAGUGUGUAG
ensembl:lncRNA